rnacentral:piRNA from 1 species
UUCAAAGCUCACCCUGUCACAGGUGCUACC